AGAUUAUCCUGAACCCUGGUAGAGUGAGGAUAUAGACUUCGGGGUGACCGAAGAAUCAGACUAGGAAAAUGAAAAAGAUGUAUCAAAAUGCAGAAGCUAAGAUGGAAUAAGAAAAGAGCAAUGAUCAGCACCAAGCUCCUUAUGGAGAAAGAGCGGGUGAAAUAUUUUCUCAGCACUCUUCCUACAAGGCGAGACCCAGAGUCACCUUGUGUAGAAAAUCUUUCUAGUAUAGGACUCAACGGAAAAUAGAUUCCCCAGCUGCCCGUAAGAAUUCCUACUUCCAACCCACAGACUUCAAAUGACUGCAAGAACGACUUGACUGAGCCUGCAGAUAACUCUUAUCUGACCCUCAGGUGAUGUGAAUAUAUCAGACUAGGAAAGCAACGGUGAAAUCUUUGCAACUCUCCCAUCUUAAACAUCAGGUGAGAGUUCAUAGU